CUACCCGGGUUUCUAAUCCUGUUUGAUCCCCACGCUUUCGUGCCUCAGCGUCAAUAUAUGCGUAGUAAGCUGCCUUCGCAAUAGGUGUUCUAUGUCAUAUCUAAGCAUUUCACCGCUACAUGACAUAUUCCGCUUACCUCCACAAUAUUCAAGAUAAAUAGUAUCAAUGGCAGUUCUAGAGUUAAGCUCUAGGAUUUCACCACUGACUUAAAUACCCGCCUACGCACCCUUUAAACCCAGUGAAUCCGGAUAACGCUUGCACCCUCCGUAUUACCGCGGCUGCUGGCAC
rnacentral:rRNA from 1 species